rnacentral:rRNA from 1 species
CCUACGGGAGGUAGCAGUGGGGAAUAUUGGACAAUGGGCGAAAGCCUGAUCCAGCCAUGCCGCGUGUGUGAAGAAGGCCUUCGGGUUGUAAAGCACUUUCAGUGGGGAAGAAAGCCUUGGGGCUAAUACCCUCGAGGAAGGACAUCACCCACAGAAGAAGCACCGGCUAACUCCGUGCCAGCAGCCGCGGUAAUACGGAGGGUGCGAGCGUUAAUCGGAAUUACUGGGCGUAAAGCGCGCGUAGGCGGUCUGAUAAGCCGGUUGUGAAAGCCCCGGGCUCAACCUGGGAACGGCAUCCGGAACUGUCAGGCUAGAGUGCAGGAGAGGAAGGUAGAAUUCCCGGUGUAGCGGUGAAAUGCGUAGAGAUCGGGAGGAAUACCAGUGGCGAAGGCGGCCUUCUGGACUGACACUGACGCUGAGGUGCGAAAGCGUGGGUAGCAAACAGGAUUAGAUACCCUGUAGUC